rnacentral:rRNA from 1 species
GGAUAUAUAGCCCGGAGACGACGAACAAAAAUGCGUUCAUUUGCCUCAAACUUUAGAGGGGCUCAUUUAAGACUUAAUCGAAUGAUUACCCAACAGGUAAAAAGAGCUUUUGUUUCCUCUCAUUGAGAUAGAGGUAGGCAAAAGAGGGAUUUUCGUCGUUUGUGGAUCACUCGGAUCGAUUGUGCUUCCGGUUCAUCUGGUCAAGCACCUCAGUAG